AUAUGAUGCAGGUAUGGGAGCACUGGACCAUGGGAACAAUUUUGGAGAUGAUGGAUCCCUCUCUUACAAGCCAUGCUCCUCGAGACCAGAUGCUCAAGUGUAUUCACAUUGGGCUACUGUGUGUUCAAGAUAACCCAGCAGAUAGACCUAUGAUGUCAACAGUGAAUGUCAUGCUUAGCAGCAGCACAGUGUCUCUUCAAUCUCCAUCCAAGCCAUCAUUUUUCAUUCCCAAAAGUGACACAGACUCAAAUAUAUACUCGGAAUCACACCCACUAACUUCCCAAUCGACUGCCUCGACCGGUAGGUCGGGAGGGAUGUCAGUUAAUGAUGUGUCAAUUACAGAGCUUGAACCAAGAUAAGGAAACCAAAUCCUUCGAAUUUAAGAUAAGAAAAUCAGUGACAACGGUAAUUGAAUUGUUACUUUUAAGAAACAAACUUCAGGGAGAAGGCCAUAAACUUGUAGGAGAAGCAUUGAAUUCUGAGUGCAUUUCUCCAUUGGCUGAGUCAAUAUUUUGGUUGGUUUUGUUUGUUCGUACAAGCCACCCUUGUUUAUUUUAUAGUUUGAAAAUUGGUUGGUUGCACAUCCAGUGACAAAAAUUUAUGUAGAAGCUAUACACACAAAAUAAAAAUUUGUUGCAAACCUUUUACUGAUGCUAAGGUGGCAUACUGCGAAUAAAUCUAGCUUUUCAAUUUCUUCAGAUAGUGGUAAGACUGAAAUUACACACGACCUCUGCAUCAACCAGGCAUGUACACAACUUAGAAAAAAAAACCUAAGACAAACAUAAAUAUAUUAUGUUAUCUUAUAACAAUUUAGGCCAAUCCCAAUAUGAGUUUCAUUCUCAUUAAACGGGGUGUCAUGUCAAUAUUAUUUAUGAUGUGGCAAGAAAUUAAUGAAAUGGUCAGAUGAUAAAACCAUGUCGACAUUGUUUUUAAUACAACUUGUAUCUUGUAUGUAUUGUCUAUGAAACAAGAAAAACAAAACAAUAAAUUGUAUGAGCUAUUUUAAUCAACUAUAUACCUUUUUGCUUAUGUGGAACUUUUGGAAAUAUAAAAAUAAUAUCUUCCAUUGAAAAUGGCAUUACAAAAAUAUAUGGUUAGUCACAUCCAAAAUAUAUACAGUCAAGACAAGCCAAGACAAAACCAUAAAGUUUUAUAUAUCUACUCCAAAACAACGUUUUGAGGAAGGACCCAACGCUUGCUUACAUCUGCCAUCGAAAAAAAGACUGAGAUGAUACCGUCAACAAAAAAAAAAGUGACAAACCAGCACCGAAUUUGCCAAAUCGAGAUAAACUACAUCAGGAUUUUCACCCUGAAUUAAUCACUAGUAUUAUGUGCCAUGUCCGAAUAAAAUGAACACAAUUGGUUGUAUCCACUAGAACCGACUUUAGCAAUUACCAACCAAUCUUUCUGACCAAAACAGAAGAUGCUACCCGCAUGGCACAAACACAUACCAAACAGUGCCCAUGUGCAGCCAUUAGGGACGAAGCGCUAGCCUCCUGGAUCCUUCUCUCCUUAGAGUAGGUAAAUAGCAGGCUAUAAACCAGCUAUAAACAUAUUAUAAAAAGAUAAAGAAAGAGAGAAAAAAGAAGCGGGCUACAGAUCUGUAGCCAGCUGCAGCACGGACUCUAAGACGUAAUAUGUGUAUGACAGAUGAACCAGAUAUUAAUAGUAUAGUAAGCAACUAUUGUAUGAAUUGACUAUUACAUUAGCUAUAGAUGAUUUGGAGCUCGUAGUGGGCUAUACUAUUAAACUUGCUCUUAAGGGCUUGUACGGGUACUCCCUCCGUUUCAGGUUAUAAGACGUUUUGACUUUGAUCAACGUCAAAUUGUUUCAAGUUUGACUAAGUUUAUAAACAAAUAUAAUAAUAUUUAUAAUACUAAAUUAGUUUCAUCAAAUCAAUAAUUGAAUAAAUUUUCAUAAUAAAUUUAUCUUGAGUUAAAAAUGUUACUAGAAAUUUGGUCAAACUUAAAGCAGUUUGACUUUGACCAAAUCAAAACGUCUUGUGACCUAAAACGGAGGAAGUACUUUUUUUUCUUCUAAAUAUAGGUCUGUUCAGUUUGAUAAUAAAAUGAACCUUUUCGGAAUUUGAUAAUGUUAAAAUUUUGGUAAAUCGGCAACAUUGCCAAGUUCUACUAGGAUGUGCUCAGUAUAGGCCCUAUUUAGUUCCUAGGGAAAAACUUUUCACCUUUAUCACAUCGAAUAUUUGGACACAUACAUAGAGUAUUAAAUAUAGACAAAAAAAAUAAAACUAAUUAUACAGAUUGCGUGUAAAUUGCGAGACGAAUCUUUUAAGCCUAAUUGUUUCAUGAUUUGACAAUGUAGUGCUACAGUAAAUUUACUAAUGACGGAUUAAUUAGGCUUAAUAAAUUCAUCUCGUAGUUCACAGGCAGAAUCUGUAAUCUGUUUUGUUAUUAGUCUACAUUUAAUACUUAAAAUAUGUAUCCGUAUAUCCGAUAUGACAUACCAAAACUUUUCCUACCACGAACUAAACAAGGCCAUAAUAUUAUCAAAAUUCUAUGGACAUUACCAAAAUUAGAUAGCAAACUACAUAUAGCUACAUAAUUAUUAAUUUUAUCAAAUAAUGAUAUAGUUUAAAAUACCAUCAAUUUAAACAAGCCUAUAAUGAUACGUAACUUUUUUGCAGGUUCGGGGGAAAAAUUAAAAAGAUGGAGCACGUUUCCCUACAUGAUAAAAUCGAUUGGUUUUCACCGUCCGCUUUUUGUACGAAUUUGGUCGCAAGUUACUAGAGUUCGGCUCUUCUGGUUCCUAUCAUCUCCUCCCUCGUUUUCCGUGCGCACGCUUCUUAAAUGUCUAAACAGUGUAUUUUUUGCAAAAAAUUUCUAUAGGAAAGUUGGUUUAAAAAAAUCAUAAUAACCCAUUUUUAAAUUUUUUUUAGCUAAUACUUAAUUAAUCGUGCACUAAUCCAUCACUCUGUUUUCCGUAUGGGAGGUAAGGGUUCCUAACCCUCACCUAAGAACAUUUUUCUCUGAGGGCCUCUUAAAAUCAAUUUGAUGCGGUAAUUUUUUUUUGUCAAAAGUUUUGAUAGCAAAAAAUUUGACAUUGCAAUUUUACAAGUUGGUGUUUAGAUGUAUGGUAAAGUAUUUUCAUUUUACCAUUAAAAACUGAUUUGUCCAUAUUAAUGGCACCUUAUUAAUUGCUGUUGUCUCUGCACUCUAGCAAUCUCUCUUGCUGCUGCUAGUGUUUGUGCCGGAGCGAAGGAGGCCCUUGUAGCUUUCCAUUCCCGGCCACCCAUCAUCGUCGGAGUUGACGUCGAGGGGGGCCAUGCCUAUCCUGAAGCACUACCGUUGUCGGAUCUAAUAAAGUGGUACGGGAAGUUGGUGAAAGGGUCUUACCCGCCGGCGGGGGAAAGUGAAUCGGCCUGCGACAUGAAGUCCCUCGUGCCGGAGCCGUCGCCGUCCAUCUCCGGCUAGGUCUUGGACUGGUGCGGCGGACGAGUUCGGCGGAGGUGGAGGCGGAUGCGGGCAUGAGUGGUGGCAGCGACGGGUGAGAUCAGCGGAGGCAGAGCCGGCAUGAGCGGCGGCGCGAGCGGAGCAAGGGUGAGAGAGCGAGCGGAUAGGGAAAUUUUUGGGAGCGGAUGAGAGAGAGAGAGCGAGUGAGGGGCAGUGCGCGUCCCGCAUGGGGCCCAACGCUUUUUUGCCAAAUUUGCUGCUCUGGACUCCCAAAUGAUAAAUGUCAAUUUGUCUACUUUUUACUACUAGUGUUUAGAUCUAUUUUGCUAAAAUAUUGUCCAAACCGACAAAAAAAAAUUACUAUUUUAGUGGAUCUAAACAGAUCCUGAAUUUUCUUUGUUUGCUGAGCUGAUGAAGAAGUCCGAGGUCAAACAAGAGACAAGUCACAUCACUUCAAUUUCUUCUUCAAUUUUGUCUCUGCAGCUUCAUCACCUUGAGAGCAGUAGGGGUCCUAUACGUCAGUCACAGCCCGCACCCGGUCAAACGAAGCGACAGUACUUAGCUUGACGGAGAGCAUCUCCGCAGUCCGCAGCCAUGGCCACCUUUGCGCGCCACCGCGUCCUCCUCUGCCGCCUCGCCGCGGCGCUCCUCCUCGCUCCGGUGGCGGCGGCCCAGCCGUGGCAGUUCUGCGGGCAGGGCGGCAACUACUCGGCGAACGGCACCUACCAGUCCAACCUCGCCGGGCUCUCCGCCACCCUCCCCAAGAACGCCUCCGCGUCCCGGACGCUCUUCGCCAAGGACAGCCUCGGCGCCGUCCCGGACAUCGUCUACGCGCUCGCGCUCUGCCGCGGCGACGUCGCCAACGCCACCGCCUGCGAGUCCUGCGUCGCCACGGCGUUCCAGGACGCGCAGCAGCUGUGCCCCUACGACAAGGACGCGUUCAUCGUCUACGACCUCUGCUACCUCGCCUUCUCCAACAGGAACAUCCUCGCCGCCGCCGCCGACGACGACGGGAGCCCCAGGUUCCUGAUGAACACGCAGAACGCGAGCGCGCCGGCGGAGGUGUUCGACGCCGCCGUCGCCACCCUCCUCAACGCCACCAGCAGCUACGCGGCGGAGAACUCGUCCAGGCGGUUCGCCACGGGGGAGGAGGCCUUCGAUGCCGCCGCCGCUACUCCGACCAUCUACGGGCUGUCCCAGUGCACGCCGGACAUGUCGCCGGACGACUGCCGGAGCUGCCUCGGGCGCAUAAUCGCGCUGAUCCCUCGGUACCUCAGCCGGAGGAAGGGCGGGAGGGCUAUCGGGAUGCGCUGCAAUUUCAGGUACGAGGUGGGUCCUUUCUUCGCCGGAGGCUCGAUGCUGCGGCUCCCGGCGCCGGCGAACUCGACGCCGACGGCGCCAACCGGAGGUGUGUUGCAGACAAAGGGGAUCCACUUCUUUUGCAGUAAUUUAUCUUGGUAUUUAAUUAGCGCGACAACAUCUGCUCAUAAUUAAUUUUCCAUCAAUUUUGACAAAAUGAAGACAACCAAACGACUAUUGAAGAAGAAAACUCUAAACAAACUUGUACUAUGUCUUCAAAUUGUUUCUGCUGUUUAGGUAAAAAAUGUUACCGCGUUAAGAAUUGUGGUUUGCUUUGCAGUACUGUUGAAUUGCAAAAAUAACAAAAUAAAAAUGUGGGGAAAUAUAAAAAUAUCUCAAUCAUGGCAACUGGUUGCAUGGGGAUUACUGGUCAAAGGAGCCUGGUACGCUGGUAGCUAUCACAUAUUAUAACCCUGUACACUUUUCUUCCUUUUUUGGGUUGAUCUUGACAUUUCUUUAGUCCUGUUUCUAUCGGAUUCUUGACCAGAAACGGCGAAAAGCACGUCUUACUCAACAUUUCCAACUGCAAUGCAUUUAUUUACCAAUAAAUAAUACUAGUAUGAUGUUUUCAGGAAUACUUUUAGAAGUACUUUUCCUUAUCACUUGAUCACGUCUCCGUCACUUUCCAUAAAUUUCCCCACAAUCUUUCAUAUUUUUAUUUGUAUUCAAUUAUCCUGGUUGUCUACUUUGCCGAGAUUUGUGGAUACCACCAGUAAUAAUAAAAAGAAUUGUAGAUCUGAUCACUCCAGCGCCAGAGCUAGGUGAAUAUGGUUUCAUCUUCUCGUGUCUUUUCCAAUUGAGCCUGAUUACUUGGUCAGUUCACACAUUUAUUCCAAUGUAGUGUUGGUAAUUAACUGCACUUCCAUUAUGCAACUUGUAUGUAUGUGCUUUACAUGUAAAGUUCAACAAUGAUUUUGGUUUCCUCCAUGUUUUCCCGUUUAAUUAGGAAAAGACACGAGAAGAUGAAACCAUAUUCUAAAAUACCUUUUUUAACAGUAAAAAAUAGUCGUUUAUAAUAUAUUGAAAAUUGCUUGACUUUACUAGCUUUGCGGUGUGCUGUAUAGGUCAAAGUGUUGACCUGCACUAAAUAAGUUUCUGGUGUGACUUCGUAGCAUGUACCUUUUUGAACAGAAACCUUAAUUAUAGUGGAUAUGUGUCAUCAUAUUUAGGUUAUGAAUUAGUCUUGUUAAGUUCUAUACUUCUAUAUGUCUGUCUUCGCAACAAAAACAAGUUUUAUCUGUCUGAAGCUGAAAUCACUUGCCUGCAGGAAGAAAGAAAAAUAAAAGUGGCACAGCUCUAGCCAUUGCAUUGCCCCUAGUUGUUAUAUUGUUGGCUACGGUUGUCAUUUGUCUUUCUGUUCAGAGGUGGAGAAAAAGAUCAAGGUCAAAACAGCAAUCUUCAUGUAAGUUCACCAACAAUUUUGAUUAUAGUGAGAGGGAAACAGUGAUUCCCUUUGAUUAUUUGAAUUCUUUUAUUCCCUAGAAAUGAAAAAAGGGUUUCAUAGUUGGAAAUGUCGACGUUAUAUUUCAGGAAAAGUUAAUAUUUCAGUUACAUUGCAUCAUAAUGUUGUUGCCCUCUUUUGAUAGAUUCAAUUCAAAUGGCGGAGGACAUUGAAAGCACGGAUUCACUUUUUAUCGAUCUAUCAACACUGCGUGCUGCAACGGGUAACUUUUCUGAGAGCAAUAGGAUUGGUGAAGGAGGAUUUGGUUCAGUUUAUAAGGUGCCAAUGCAAUCAUAUAUAUCAUUCACUUUAUAUAGUGCAUAACUAUGUACAGCUUCAAUAAGCGAGUGCUUGCACUUAUGCAGGGCGUCCUUCCUAGUGGUGAAGAGAUAGCUGUAAAGAGGCUCUCUAUGAGUUCAGGACAAGGAAUAGAAGAGCUAAAAAAUGAGCUUGUUUUGGUUGCUAAACUUCAGCAGAAGAAUCUUGUUAGGCUUGUUGGUGUCUGCUUGCAAGAACAUGAGAAAUUGCUUGUGUAUGAAUACAUGCCCAAUAGAAGUAUCGACACCAUUCUAUUUGGUACUAUUCUCAGAAUUCAACAAUUGCACAAGCACUACUAGAUCUGAACUGUACAUUUCCUUUCCAAAAUGUGUUUCUUUACACCCCCCCCCCCCAACCUUCUUGAAUCAGGUCUUCAACCCAAGCCAAACACUUGGAAUUCACAUGCCCUUGUCAUCAUGAAUAUAUAUUAGUGGUAAAACUGUAGUUUACUAAGACAUUUCUUGUUCAAUUGACAGAUCUUGAGAAAAGGAAGGAGUUAGACUGGGGAAAAAGAUUUAGGAUAAUAAAUGGAAUUGCUCGCGCAUUACAGUAUCUUCAUGAAGAUUCUCAACUGAGAAUAAUUCACCGAGACCUCAAAGCAAGCAAUGUUUUAUUAGACUCCGAUUAUAACCCUAAGAUUUCAGACUUUGGCUUGGCAAGACUAUUUGAGGGUGAUCAAACAAGGGAAGUCACAAGCCGUGUGGUAGGAACAUAGUAAGUAUUGUCUAAACUAACCCAAUCAGAUACAAAUAGUAUGCUGGCAUGAGUAACUUUAUUCUCUUACUGCAGUGGAUAUAUGGCACCAGAGUACGCGAUGCGUGGCCACUAUUCUGUAAAAUCAGACGUCUUUAGCUUUGGCAUAUUGAUGAUAGAAAUUGUGACAGGAAGAAGAAGCAGUGGUUCAUAUAGCUUUGAUCAAUCAUAUGAUCUCCUAAGCCGUGUAAGUCCUUUUUCCUGGACUAUUCUACAAAGCUAAUCAGAAUGAUCUCCUAACUUGUUACAAAAAUUCUGAAUCAUCUUUGCCAAUAUGAUGCAGGUAUGGGAGCACUGGACCAUGGGAACAAUUUUGGAGAUGAUGGAUCCCUCUCUUACAAGCCAUGCUCCUCGAGACCAGAUGCUCAAGUGUAUUCACAUUGGGCUACUGUGUGUUCAAGAUAACCCAGCAGAUCGACCUAUGAUGUCAACAGUGAAUAUCAUGCUUAGCAGCAACACAGUGUCUCUUCAAUCCCCAUCCAAGCCAUCAUUUUUCAUUCCCAAGAGUG
rnacentral:lncRNA from 1 species